CAGGCCUAACACAUGCAAGUCGAACGGUGGUAGCAAUACCAUAGUGGCGCACGGGUGCGUAACACGUAGCUAACCUGCCCAGAACUGGGGGAUAGCCCGCCGAAAGGCGGAUUAACACCGCAUAAUAUCUACUGGUGGCAUCACUGGUUGAUUAAAUCUACGGAGGUUCUGGAUGGGGCUGCGGGUCAUUAGCUAGUUGGUUGGGUAACGGCUUACCAAGGCGACGAUGACUAGGGGAGCUGAGAGGCUGGUCCCCCACACGGGCACUGAGAUACGGGCCCGACUCCUACGGGAGGCAGCAGUAGGGAAUAUUGGACAAUGGGCGAAAGCCUGAUCCAGCAAUGCCGCGUGAGUGAUGAAGGCCUUAGGGUUGUAAAGCUCUUUUACCCGGGAUGAUAAUGACAGUACCGGGAGAAUAAGCUCCGGCUAACUCCGUGCCAGCAGCCGCGGUAAU
rnacentral:rRNA from 1 species